CAGCAGCCGCGGUAAUACGUAGAAGGCGAGCGUUAUUCGGAUUUACUGGGCGUAAAGAGAGCGUAGGCGGCCUUUCAAGUCGGAUGUGAAAUCUCUCGGCUUAACCGGGAGGGGUCAUCCGAUACUGUUGGGCUUGAGGACAGCAAGAGGAGGUGGAAUUCCCGGUGUAGUGGUGAUAUGCGUAGAUAUCGGGAGGAACACCAGUGGCGAAGGCGGCCUCCUGGGCUGUUUCUGACGCUGAGGCUCGAAAGUGUGGGUAGCGAACAGAAUUAGAUACUCUGGUAGUCCACACCGUAAACGAUGGAUACUAGGUAUAGGGAGUAUCGACCCUCUCUGUAUCGAAGCUAACGCUUUAAGUAUCCCGCCUGGGGACUACGGCCGCAAGGCUAAAACUCAAAGGAAUUGACGGGGGCCCGCACAAGCAGCGGAGCGAGUGGUUUAAUUCGAUGCAACGCGAAGAACCUUACCAAGACUUGACAUGUCGGAAGUAGUGACCCGAAAGGGAAACCACCUGUUAAGCCAGGAGCCGUCACAGGUGCUGCAUGGCUGUCGUCAGCUCGUGCCGUGAGGUGUUCGGUUAAGUCCUGCAACGAGCGCAACCCUCGUCGUUAGUUGUUUUCUCUAGCGAGACUGCCCCGCAAAACGGGGAGGAAGGUGGGGAUGACGUCAAGUCAGCAUGGCCCUUAUGUCUUGGGCUACACACACGCUACAAUGGGUGGUACAAUAGGUAGCAACAGAGCGAUCUGGAGCCAAUCCCUAAAGCCAUCCUCAGUUCGGAUUGUAGGCUGAAAUUCGCCUGCAUGAAGUUGGAGUUGCUAGUAACCGUGGGUCAGCAUACUGCGGUGAAUACGUUCUCGGGGCUUGUACACACCGCCCGUCACAUCACGGAAGUCGGUAACACCCGAAGUCAGUGGCCCAACCACUUUUGUGGGGGGAGCUGCCGAAGGUGGGAUCGGUGACUGGGAUGAAGUCGUAACAAGGUAACCGUA
rnacentral:rRNA from 1 species